rnacentral:rRNA from 1 species
GGAUGAACGCUAGCGACAGGCUUAACACAUGCAAGUCGAGGGGCAGCACAGGUAGCAAUACCGGGUGGCGACCGGCGCACGGGUGAGUAACGCGUAUGCAACUUACCUAUCAGAGGGGGAUAACCCGGCGAAAGUCGGACUAAUACCGCAUGAAGCAGGGGUCCCGCAUGGGGAUAUUUGCUAAAGAUUCAUCGCUGAUAGAUAGGCAUGCGUUCCAUUAGGCAGUUGGCGGGGUAACGGCCCACCAAACCGACGAUGGAUAGGGGUUCUGAGAGGAAGGUCCCCCACAUUGGUACUGAGACACGGACCAAACUCCUACGGGAGGCAGCAGUGAGGAAUAUUGGUCAAUGGCCGAGAGGCUGAACCAGCCAAGUCGCGUGAGGGAUGAAGGUUCUAUGGAUCGUAAACCUCUUUUAUAAGGGAAUAAAGUGCGGGACGUGUCCCGUUUUGUAUGUACCUUAUGAAUAAGGAUCGGCUAACUCCGUGCCAGCAGCCGCGGUAAUACGGAGGAUCCGAGCGUUAUCCGGAUUUAUUGGGUUUAAAGGGUGCGUAGGCGGCCUUUUAAGUCAGCGGUGAAAGUCUGUGGCUCAACCAUAGAGUUGCCGUUGAAACUGGGGGGCUUGAGUAUGUUUGAGGCAGGCGGAAUGCGUGGUGUAGCGGUGAAAUGCAUAGAUAUCACGCAGAACCCCGAUUGCGAAGGCAGCCUGCCAAGCCAUUACUGACGCUGAUGCACGAAAGCGUGGGGAUCAAACAGGAUUAGAUACCCUGGUAGUCCACGCAGUAAACGAUGAUCACUAGCUGUUUGCGAUACACUGUAAGCGGCACAGCGAAAGCGUUAAGUGAUCCACCUGGGGAGUACGCCGGCAACGGUGAAACUCAAAGGAAUUGACGGGGGCCCGCACAAGCGGAGGAACAUGUGGUUUAAUUCGAUGAUACGCGAGGAACCUUACCCGGGUUUGAACGCAUUCGGACCGAGGUGGAAACACCUUUUCUAGCAAUAGCCGUUUGCGAGGUGCUGCAUGGUUGUCGUCAGCUCGUGCCGUGAGGUGUCGGCUUAAGUGCCAUAACGAGCGCAACCCUUGCCACUAGUUACUAACAGGUAAAGCUGAGGACUCUGGUGGGACUGCCAGCGUAAGCUGCGAGGAAGGCGGGGAUGACGUCAAAUCAGCACGGCCCUUACAUCCGGGGCGACACACGUGUUACAAUGGCGUGGACAAAGGGAAGCCACCUGGCGACAGGGAGCGAAUCCCCAAACCACGUCUCAGUUCGGAUCGGAGUCUGCAACCCGACUCCGUGAAGCUGGAUUCGCUAGUAAUCGCGCAUCAACCAUGGCGCGGUGAAUACGUUCCCGGGCCUUGUACACACCGCCCGUCAAGCCAUGGGAGCCGGGGGUACCUGAAGUCCGUAACCGCGAGGAUCGGCCUAGGGUAAAACUGGUGACUGGGGCUA